rnacentral:antisense_RNA from 1 species
CCUUGGUGGGCCGUGAACUGAAUGGUGGCGCUUGCCUGUGCCCAGUAGAUCUGGGUUCAGUGGCUGAGAGAGCAUUGGUUGCCCUGUGUCCGUGACGGGCCACUGUUCUGCAUGCAUCCCAUCACAUGGAUCCAUGGAGAAUGUUGAGCCCGGAGGAAGACUUGUGCUGGGCCCAAUGGCCCCGGGUCAUCGUCUGUCAGCCAGGUGCCCAGCCCCUGGAGCACUGAAGAUCAGGCCCUUCCUGGCACCCUGGUCUCCUGCAUUGAGCUGUGUGAGCUCUUCCACAUGGAGGACCCCUGGCAUUGACUGGCAUAGGGUUCAGUGGUGGAGAGAGCAUCAGGUGCCCCACGUCUGUGAUGGGCCAGUAUUCCACAUGGAUCUCAUCACAUGGGUCCAUGGAAGGCGAGCAUCCCUGAGCUGGCACACCACAUCUUCUGCCGGCGUGGAGGGAUGGUGAGCACAGAGGAAGAAUUGCAUUGGGCCCUUUGGCCCCGGACCAGUGUCUGUCAGCCACGUGCUCAGCCUCCCGUGCGCUAAAGCUCAGGUCCUUGCUGUCAUCCUGGUCUCCUGCACUGAGGUGUGUGAGCUCUUCCCCCCGCAGCAGACCCCCUAGGAUUGACUGGCAUAGGUGAAUGGUGUCUGUGGAGGAAGACUUGCCUUUGGGUUGCUGGCCCCAGGCCAGUGGUUGUCAUCCAGGUGCCCAGCCUUGGUGCACUGAAGCUCAGGUCCUUCCUGGUGCCCUGGUUGCCUGCACUGAGCUGUGUGAACUCUUCUGCCCAGGCGAGCCCCUGGCCUUGAGCAGGAUAGAUGGUGAGCCCCGAGGAAGAAUUGCUUUGGGCCUCCUGGCCCCGGGCCAGUGUCCGUCAGCCAGGUGCCCAGCCCCUGGUGCACUGAAGCUCAGGCCCUCCUGGUGCCCUGGUCUUCUGCACUGAGCUGUGUGAGCUCUUCUGUCCAGCAGACCCCCUGGCAUUGACCAGCAUAGAUGCUGACCCCAGAGGAAGACUUGCGUUGGGCCUGCUGGCUCUGGGCUCAGCCCCUGGUGAGCUGAAGCUCAGGCCCUUCCUGGCACCCUGGUCUGCUGCACCGAGCUGCGUGAGCUCUUCCACCCAGGUGCGACUUCCACCCUGGCAUUGACCAGCAUAGGUAUUGAGCCUGGGGGAAGAUAUGAAUUGGUCCCAAUGGCCCCAGGCCAGCAUCCAUCAGCUAGGUGCCCAGCCCCUGGUGCACUGAAGAUUGAUGCCUGUGCGGGGAGGGGGUUGCCUUGGGUUGGGUCGAUGAUGAGAACCUUAUAUUGUCUGAAGAGAGGUGAUGACUUAAAAAUCAUGCUCAAUAGGAUUACGCUGAGGCCCAGCCUAGUGAGCUCUUCUGUCCAGCAGACCCCCGGCAUUGACCAGCAUAGUGAGCUCUUCUGCCCAGCAGCCUUCCUGGCAGUGACCAGCAUAGAUGGUGACCCUGGAGGAAGAAUUGCACUGGGCCCACUGGCCCCGGGAAAAUGUCCCUCAGCCAGGUGCUCAGCCCCUGAUAAGCUGAAGCUCAGGCCCUUCCUGGUGCCCUGGUCUCCUGCACUGAGCUGUGUGAGCUCUUCAGCCCAGGUGGGCUCCCUGACAUUGAUGCGCAUAGAUGGUGAGCCUGGAGGAAGACUUGCAUUGGGCCCGAUGGACCCAGGCCAGUGGCCAUCAGCCAGGUGCCCACCCUGGUGUGCUGAAGCUCAGGACCUACCUGUUGUCCUGGUUUCCUGCACUGAGCUGUGCGAGCUCUUCAACCCAGGCGGGGCACUCUGGCAUUCACCGGCAUAGAUCGUGAAAUGGGAGGAAGAAUUGUGUUCGGCCUAAUGGCCCUGGGACAGUGUCCGUCAGCCUGGCAUCCAGCCCCUGGUGUGCUGAAGCUCAGGCCCUUCCUGGUGCCCUAGUCUCCUGCACUGAGCUUGUGAGCUCUUUCACCCAGCAGACUCCCUGGCAUUGACCGGCAUAGAUGGCGGCCCUGGAGGAGGACUUGUAUUGGGGCCACUGACCCCACGUCAGUGUCUGUCAGCCCGGCAUCCAGCCCCUGGUGUGCUGAAGCCCAGGCCCUUCCUGGUGCCCUAGUCUCCUGCACUGAGCUUGUGAACUCUUCUGCUCAAGCAGGUCCCCUGGCAUUGACCAGCACAGAUGGUGGCCCUGGAGUAGGACUUGUAUUGGGGCUACUGGCCCCAUGUCAGUGUCCAUCAGCCCGGAGUCCAGCCCCUGGUGUGCUGAAGCUCAGGCCCUUCCUGGUGCCCUAGUCUCCUGCACUGAGCUUGUGAGCUCUUCUGCCCAGGUGGUCCCCCUGGUCUUAAUGGGCAUAGAUGGUGAGCCUGAAGGAGGACUUGCAUCAGGACCAAUGGACCCUGGCAAGUGUCUGUCAGCCAGGUGCUCAGCCCCUGGUGCACUGAAGCUCAGGCCCUUCCUGGCCCCCUGAUCUCCUGCACUGAGCUGUGUGAGCUCUUCUGCCAAGGGGGGGCCUCCUGGCAUUGACCAACAUAGAUAGUGAGCCUGGAGGAAGAUUUGCGUUGGGCCCAAUGGCCCUGGGCCAGUGUCUGUCAGCCAGUUUCCCAGCCCCUGGUGCACUGAAGCUCAGGCCUUUUCCUGGCAUCCUGGUCUCCUGCACUGAACUGUGUGAGUGCUUCUGCCCAGGUAGGCCACUUGGCAUUGACCAGCAUAGAUGGUGAGCCUGGAGGAAGACUUGUGUUGGACCCGCAGGCUGAGGGCCAGUGUCUGUCAGCCAGGUGCUCAGCCCCCAGUGGGCUGAAACUCUGACCCUUCCUGGCACCCUGCUCUCCUGCACUGUGCUGUGAUGGUGAGACUUCUGUUGGGCUCACUUUUCCUGGGCCAGUGUCCAUCGGCCAGGUGCUCAGCCUUCGGUGCGGUGAAGCUCCAGCCCUUCCUGGUGCCCUGGUCUCCUGCACUGAGCUGUGGUGAUGAGCUCUUUCACCUAGGAGGGCUGCUUGGCAUUGACUGGCAUAGAUGGUGACCCUGAAGAAAGACUUGAGUUGAGCCCGAAGGCCCCGGGCCAGUGUCCAUCAUCCAGGUGCUCAGCUCCCAGUGCACUGAAGCUCGGACCCUUCUUGGUUCCCUGGUCUCUUGCACUGAG